rnacentral:rRNA from 1 species
UACAUGGGGUGCAAACGUUGCUCGGAAUUAUUGGGCGUAAAGCGCACGUAGGCGGUCCGUUAAGUCGGAUGUGAAAGCCCCCGGCUCAACCGGGGAAGUGCAUCCGAAACUGGCAGGCUAGAGUACGAAAGAGGGUCGCGGAAUUCCCGGUGUAGAGGUGAAAUUCGUAGAUAUCGGGAGGAACACCGGUGGCGAAGGCGGCGACCUGGGUCGAUACUGACGCUGAGGUGCGAAAGCGUGGGGGGCAAACAGG